CCUACGGGAGGCAGCAGUGGGGAAUAUUGCACAAUGGGCGAAAGCCUGAUGCAGCAACGCCGCGUGAAGGACGACGGUUUUCGGAUUGUAACCUUCUGUUCUUAGUGAAGAAUAAUGACGGUAACUCAGGCGCCAGCCACUGCUAACUACGUGCCAGCAGCCGCGGUCAUACGGAGGUGGCAAGCGUUGUCCGGCAUUACUGGGUGUAAAGGGAGCGUAGGCGGGAAGCCAAGUCAGCUGUGAAAACUACGGGCUUAACCUGUAGACUGCAGUUGAAACUGGCUUUCUUGAGUGAAGUAGAGGUUGGCGGAAUUCCGGGUGUAGCGGUGAAAUGCGUAGAUAUUCGGAGGAACACCGGUGGCGAAGGCGGCCAACUGGGCUUUAACUGACGCUGAGGCUCGAAAGUGUGGGGAGCAAACAGGAUUAGAUACCCCAGUAGUC
rnacentral:rRNA from 1 species